CCGAGCGGAUGAGUUGCGAACGGGUGAGUAACGCGUAGGUAACCUGCUCUUAGCGGGGGAUAACUAUUGGAAACGAUAGCUAAUACCGCAUAAAAGUCGAUAUCGCAUGAUAUUGAUUUGAAAGGUGCAAUUGCAUCACUAAGAGAUGGACCUGCGUUGUAUUAGCUAGUUGGUGAGGUAACGGCUCACCAAGGCGACGAUACAUAGCCGACCUGAGAGGGUGAUCGGCCACACUGGGACUGAGACACGGCCCAGACUCCUACGGGAGGCAGCAGUAGGGAAUCUUCGGCAAUGGGGGCAACCCUGACCGAGCAACGCCGCGUGAGUGAAGAAGGUUUUCGGAUCGUCAAGCUCUGUUGUAAGAGAAGAACGAGUGUGAGAGUGGAAAGUUCACACUGUGACGUAACUACCAGAAAGGCG
rnacentral:rRNA from 1 species